rnacentral:rRNA from 1 species
CGGAGCAUGUGGUUUAAUUCGAAGCAACGCGAAGAACCUUACCAGGUCUUGACAUCCCUCUGAAGUAUGCUUAGCAGCAUAUGUCCUUCGGGACAGGGGAGACAGGUGGUGCAUGGUUGUCGUCAGCUCGUGUCAUGAGAUGUUGGGUUAAGUCCCGCAACGAGCGCAACCCUUGUGUUUAGUUGCCAACAGGUAAUGCUGUGCACUCUAAACAGACUGCCGUGGAUAACACGGAGGAAGGUGGGGAUGACGUCAAGUCAGCAUGGCCUUUAUGUCCUGGGCUACACACACGCUACAAUGGCCAACACAAUAGGUUGCUAAGCCGCGAGGUGGAGCCAAUCCUCAAAGUUGGUCUCAGUUCAGAUUGCAGGCUGCAACCCGCCUGCAUGAAGAUGGAGUUGCUAGUAACCGCAGGUCAGCUAUACUGCGGUGAAUACGUUCCCGGGGCUU